rnacentral:rRNA from 1 species
CCUACGGGAGGCUGUAGUCGGGAAUAUUGCGCAAUGGAGGAAACUCUGACGCAGUGACGCCGCGUGCAGGAAGAAGGCUUUCGGGUUGUAAACUUCUUUUAUGAGGGACGAAAGAAAUGACGGUACCUCAUGAAUAAGCCACGGCUAACUAGGUGCCAGCAGCCGCGGUAAUACGUAGGUGGCAAGCGUUAUCCGGAUUUACUGGGUGUAAAGGGCGUGUAGGCGGGACUGCAAGUCAGAUGUGAAAAUUAUGGGCUCAACCCAUAACCUGCAUUUGAAACUGUAGUUCUUGAGUGAUGGAGAGGCAGGCGGAAUUCCGUGUGUAGCGGUGAAAUGCGUAGAUAUACGGAGGAACACCAGUGGCGAAGGCGGCCUGCUGGACAUUAACUGACGCUGAGGCGCGAAAGCGUGGGGAGCAAACAGGAUUAGAUACCCUAGUAGUC